AGGAUAAACGCUGGCGGCGUGCCUAACACAUGCAAGUCGAACGCGCUUUCGGGCUUCGGUGCGAGAGCGAGUGGCGGACGGGUGAGUAACACAUGGGUACCUGCCUUUCAGUGAGGGAUACCGGCGAGAAAUCGCCGACAAUACCGCAUGGGCUUGUGGGAACACAAGCAAAGUGGCGCAAGCCACGCUGGAAGAUGGGCCUGUGGCCGAUUAGCUAGUUGGGGGGUAAUGGCCUCCCAAGGCGACGAUCGGUAGCUGGUCUGAGAGGACGAUCAGCCACACUGGGAUUGAGAACGGCCCAGACUCCUACGGGGGCAGCAGUGAGGAAUUUUCCGCAAUGGACGAAAGUCUGACGGAGCAACGCCGCGUGCAGGAGGAAGGUUUUCGGAUCGUAAACUGCUUUUCUCGGGGACGAGCAAGGACGGUACCCGAGGAAGAAGCCCCGGCUAACUACGUGCCAGCAGCCGC
rnacentral:rRNA from 1 species